rnacentral:rRNA from 1 species
GACGAACCGUGCGAACGUUGUUCGGAAUUACUGGGCGUAAAGGGCGCGUAGGCGGAUAUCUAAGUUGGGGGUGAAAUCCCGGGGCUCAACCUCGGAAUUGCCUUCAAAACUGGAUAUCUUGAGUUCGGGAGAGGUGAGUGGAACUCCGAGUGUAGAGGUGAAAUUCGUAGAUAUUCGGAAGAACACCAGUGGCGAAGGCGACUCACUGGCCCGAUACUGACGCUGAGGCGCGAAAGCGUGGGGAGCAAACAGG